rnacentral:tRNA from 1 species
UGGAGGAGUGGCCGAGCGGCUGAAGGCAGCGGUCUUGAAAACCGCAGGUGGCGAAAGCUUCCCGUAGGUUCGAAUCCUACCUCCUCCGU